rnacentral:rRNA from 1 species
AUUGAACGCUGGCGGCAGGCCUAACACAUGCAAGUCGAGCGGAUGAAGGGAGCUUGCUCCUGGAUUCAGCGGCGGACGGGUGAGUAAUGCCUAGGAAUCUGCCUGGUAGUGGGGGAUAACGUCCGGAAACGGGCGCUAAUACCGCAUACGUCCUGAGGGAGAAAGUGGGGGAUCUUCGGACCUCACGCUAUCAGAUGAGCCUAGGUCGGAUUAGCUAGUUGGUGGGGUAAAGGCCUACCAAGGCGACGAUCCGUAACUGGUCUGAGAGGAUGAUCAGUCACACUGGAACUGAGACACGGUCCAGACUCCUACGGGAGGCAGCAGUGGGGAAUAUUGGACAAUGGGCGAAAGCCUGAUCCAGCCAUGCCGCGAGUGUGAAGAAGGUCUUCGGAUUGUAAAGCACUUUAAGUUGGGAGGAAGGGCAGUAAGUUAAUACCUUGCUGUUUUGACGUUACCAACGGAAUAAGCACCGGCUAACUUCGUG